rnacentral:rRNA from 1 species
AUUGAACGCUGGCGGCAUGCCUUACACAUGCAAGUCGAACGGUAACGGGCCUUCGGGUGCCGACGAGUGGCGAACGGGUGAGUAAUGUAUCGGAACGUACCUUUCAGUGGGGGAUAACGUAGCGAAAGUUACGCUAAUACCGCAUAUUCUGUGAGCAGGAAAGCAGGGGAUCGCAAGACCUUGCGCUGAUUGAGCGGCCGAUAUCAGAUUAGCUAGUUGGUGGGGUAAAGGCCUACCAAGGCGACGAUCUGUAGCGGGUCUGAGAGGAUGAUCCGCCACACUGGGACUGAGACACGGCCCAGACUCCUACGGGAGGCAGCAGUGGGGAAUUUGGACAAUGGGGGCAACCCUGAUCCAGCCAUGCCGCGUGAGUGAAGAAGGCCUUCGGGUUGUAAAGCUCUUUUCAGACGGAAAGAAACGCAAUCGGUGAAUACCCGGUGUGGAUGACGGUACCGUAAGAAGAAGCACCGGCUAACGUAACGUGCCAGCAGCCGCGGUAAUCU